rnacentral:rRNA from 1 species
AGUGAGCGCUGGCGGUAGGCCUAACACAUGCAAGUCGAACGGCAGCACAGUUAGAGCUUGCUCUUACGGGUGGCGAGUGGCGGACGGGUGAGGAAUACAUCGGAAUCUACUUUUUCGUGGGGGAUAACGUAGGGAAACUUACGCUAAUACCGCAUACGACCUACGGGUGAAAGCAGGGGAUCUUCGGACCUUGCGCGAUUGAAUGAGCCGAUGUCGGAUUAGCUAGUUGGCGGGGUAAAGGCCCACCAAGGCGACGAUCCGUAGCUGGUCUGAGAGGAUGAUCAGCCACACUGGAACUGAGACACGGUCCAGACUCCUACGGGAGGCAGCAGUGGGGAAUAUUGGACAAUGGGCGCAAGCCUGAUCCAGCCAUACCGCGUGGGUGAAGAAGGCCUUCGGGUUGUAAAGCCCUUUUGUUGGGAAAGAAAAGCAGCAGGUUAAUACCCCGCUGUUCUGACGGUACCCAAAGAAUAAGCACCGGCUAACUUCGUG